rnacentral:rRNA from 1 species
AUGUACGAUCGGGCGUCACCGCAGGGCCUCAAGGAGCUGCUCGCCUGCUACCUGGCCCUCAACGCCGCCGAGCACCGCGACAUCGUUGCCGCUUUCUGCUGCGCAUGGCUCGACUACACAACCGGCACAACGGCACCACCUGCACCAAGCACAGCCCGCCGCCGUGACGGUGGGCCGAUGCCAGCCAGGGACGCCAUAUCCCUCGACGGGAGGCGCUCAUGGAUGAUCCUAUCGAACGAUGUUGAUACCAUCAGCAAAGUCCCCAUCAGCAGAGCUUGCACCCCCCACGGCCUCCGUGUGCGCCUGGAUCAACUCUUCCUCGUCCGUGCAAGGUCUGGCUAG